GAAAGGGAAAAACACAACAAUUAUAUACACACCAAGACCAUUUUUGGAUAAGGACGAAUAUAACAAAAAAAGGGACGGACCCACUUGGUGACAGAGAGCACAAGCACACAAUAUACUCCCUCACAAAUACACACAUAGGAAGGAAUUCCUCACAAUUUCCAUGCAGAAGAGAACAACCACUCCAUUUUUCCAUUUUUCUUUUCUGAAUAACGUAGACCACAUCCAUGAAAUUCAUCGCUGUAGUACGUACCCACACACAUAUAUCUCACCAUAAAACACUCACUGUCACUAGAAUCUGACCCUCUCCCAUCAGUUUUGUAGCCGUUUGAGCUCUGGAGUUUUGGCUAUACGUCCUUUUCUUGGUUUUUGUGACAAAUUCAGAUAUUUGUUGGUUCACUGCUCUUGGUAGAAUUUUGUUCGUGUAUUGUUUGUUUUCUACAAUUUUAUCUUGGUGUCACUAGAAGACGGUCAAAGGGAUGCAUACCGGAGCUGGGGGUUCGAGUUGAAGUUCCGAAUUGAGGUUUUUUGGCACGCGUAUUUGUAUUCUUGAUUGACUGAUAUUCAGAGUAAAAUUAUCAUUGAGGUCCAUUUCUACUCCUUUUCUCAUUUUAUUUCAUUGUUGAAGGAAUAUGGUGCAUUGGAUGGAAUCUAUGUGUUGUUUGAUCUUGAUUAGUGAUGAAUUGCUACUUUGAUAUUCACUUGUUGCUUAGUUUCAUUGAAAUGGAAAUCGUGAAUUGAGGAAAAUUAGCGUUAAAAGGGAAUUUGGGGUGUGAGAAUUGAAAACUUAAUAUAAUUGGUGAGUUUUGGUUAGUUUGAUUCAUGGGUUGUUUGACUCGAAAUGAACGUUAAUUGAACUUGGCAGUAUCAUGAUACGUCGAUUGGUUUAGGCAAACAUAGGUUGGGUGGCAAACAUAUCGGUAAAAGGUGAAUUUUAUGGUAUUUUGAUUCAUUGUUGAUGGCGAAUAUUGAUAGUAUCAUAUUUUAGACCAAGGAUUGAUAGGAAAAUCGUAGGUUCGGGUAGACAAAUUUAGGGAUGAUGUUUGGUUGAAUGCUUGAAAUCCGUGUUGAAUGGCUUGGUAUGUUCAUUUUUUGGAUCAAAUGUAUCAUUUGGCCGAGGAAUGCCCCGAGCGAUUUGUAUUAAUUUAUUCGAGAAAUGCCCUGAAGUAUUUUAUUGGUGGAAGACAUUCUUGAUGAAGGCCCGAGGCGUCGGGUAAACCACGGGAGCGUAGUUAGGAUUAGUAUAGGUUAGAUAGGAUUUAUUUUUGCAUUUUUUAUUUUGGGACUAUAUAACUCGAACUGGACUUUAUUUUGGUUUUGAACUCUAUUUGAUUUGUUUGUUGCUUACUUUACGUGUUUUUGUGUGAUUUAUACAUCUGUGAUAUCAAAUUAGCCGAUAUGCUCCACCAAGUGACCGUGGUCAAACCACGAGAUCGAGGGGUUCCUAACACCUUCCCCUGGGUUAACAAAAUUUCUUAGCCGGAGUCUCUGUUCGCAAACCAGUUGAAAGAGUCAAAUUGUUUUGAAAAGGAUCUUUUAAAGGUGACUUGACACACCGGAUUAUGUCAAGUGGUGACUCUGAAUAAAAAAUGUAAAUAAUCCUUUUUCGAAAUAAAUUUUUAAUCUUUUGUCACUUUGAUAAUAAAAACCCUUUCAAGCAUUAAAAUCAAAUCUGUUUUUGGAGUUGAAGAAAGGGGUGUGAUAGAGGGCACCUAACCAUAGUCCCAAUUUGGGAUGACAAGAAUCAAGGAUCACAAGAUCACAAAGCAUGGUACCAUAAUCCCGUGUCGGCAAAUCACAGUUUCUAUCAUAAAGUCUUUCAACUCGUACUUUCUUCGGGUAACCAUCUAACUCUCUUAAAUUAAACUCUAACUCUAUCAUGGCAUACAUUUAUAUGGUAUCGCCAUACCAAUGACUUACAAAUCACAGUACCACAUCAAUUCUCCAACUUUUCAUGCCAUUUACAGCAUGCACAUAUAUAAAACUUUCACACACAUCAAACACAUGAACCAUGGUUAUCAACAUGUAAUAGUUUCAAGAAACUCUAUCAUUUAUGAGUAAAAUCAUGUCAAUUGCAAAAUCUCAUGCUCUCAAUGGUUUAACAUAAGUACAGUGUGGGAUAUAAAACAUUAUCAUGGGGGAUUUAAAGAAUUCACAAUUCAUAUACACCACACCUUUUCAAAAUUCAGAUCACAUAUUCACAAUUCAACAAUUGAAAUAUAUGCAAGCCAACAACCCCAUAAUGUAUGAUGUGCAUAUCAUUAUGAUGUUCAGGGUCACAUUAUUGGAGAUUAUCGUGCUUCAAAAAGAGAAAUUGAAAAGAUGACUCAAGAUAAAUCAAUUAUGAUGCAGAACAAGGAAAGCUCUAGUCAUGCUGAUAUGCAAACCAGUGGCUAAGAUGUCAGGCUGAGCAAUUGAGAAGUCACCCCUCCCUACUAGGAAGAGGUCUGGUAGUUUUUUUUUGUUUUAUUUUUUGUUAUCCGAAUUAUUUCAGGGUUGUAGUUUGGGAUCUAUCUUGUUUUGUCCCUUUGUCGUUAUGUUCAAACUCUUUUAUCUUUUGUUUCAACUAAAUGAAGUGUCCCAUUUUCCUUUGUGUUUUAAAUAUGUCUUGUUUGUUUGUUGUCUUUACAUAAUACAUUUUAUGUUGACUCUAGUGAUAAGACAUGCUAGUGAAAUUUUCAGCCAGAUCUUAAAAUCCAGUUUAAGAAUGAGCAUUGAAUCAGAGGGUUAAAUUUAGAAAAAGAGAGCAUCUGAGAAAAUAGAUAGUGUCUUGGGGAAUUUAGUGAUCAAGUUGAAGCCUUUUUUGAAAAUUAAGGCAAUUAUUUUUAGAAUAGUGAGAAUAACUUGGUCAACAUUUGAAAGACAUAUCUCAAUUAGGUCAAAUAGUGGAUGCGUGAUCCUACAUUAAAAGGAAUAGAAAAAUUAACUCCACGAAAGCAUAAGGAAUGUACAACAAAGAUGGAGUUUGCAGAAAAAGUAGUGACGCAUAGUCUCACUUAAAAUUAGUGUUGUAAAAAAUAUCACAAAUGAUCUUCAUCUCUCACUUUCACAUUACAUGAUAUGUACUAGCAUUUUCAAGGAUUGAUAUGAUGAAGGCAAUUCAUUCUGCUAUUCAAACAUCGUGUCAUCCUUUGUUUACCUCAUUUGAGCUUUAGUCUUAUUUUCUUUCAUACCCCUCUUUUGGAAUCAAGAUAGAGUUAGCAAAGCUCAAAAGAAAGGUGUCGAGCGAAAAAAUAGAGUCAAAAGGUAUAAAAAAAAAGAAAAAAUGUGUUCAAAAAUAAAAAAAGAGUGUCAAACAAAAUAGAGUCAGAAAAAUCCCAAAAAGAGAGUUGAUGGCGAAUAUUGAUAGUAUCAUAUUUUAGACCAAGGAUUGAUAGGAAAAUCGUAGGUUCGGGUAGACAAAUUUAGGGAUGAUGUUUGGUUGAAUGCUUGAAAUCCGUGUUGAAUGGCUUGGUAUGUUCAUUUUUUGGAUCAAAUGUAUCAUUUGGCCGAGGAAUGCCCCGAGCGAUUUGUAUUAAUUUAUUUGAGAAAUGCCCUAAAGUAUUUUAUUGGUGGAAGACAUUCUUGAUGAAGGCCUGAGGCGUCGGGUAAACCACGGGAGCGUAGUUAGGAUUAGUAUAGGUUAGAUAGGAUUUAUUUUUGCAUUUUUUAUUUUGGGACUAUAUAACUCGAACUGGACUUUAUUUUGGUUUUGAACUCUAUUUGAUUUGUUUGUUGCUUUCUUUACGUGUUUUUGUGUGAUUUAUACAUCUGUGAUAUCAAAUUAGCCGAUAUGCUCCACCAAGUGACCGUGGUCAAACCACGAGAUCGAGGGGUUCCUAACACCUUCCCCUGGGUUAACAAAAUUUCUUAGCCGGAGUCUCUGUUCGCAAACCAGUUGAAAGAGUCAAAUUGUUUUGAAAAGGAUCUUUUAAAGGUGACUUGGCACACCGGAUUAUGUCAAGUGGUGACUCUGAAUAAAAAAUGUAAAUAAUCCUUUUUCGAAAUAAAUUUUUAAUCUUUUGUCACUUUGAUAAUAAAAACCCUUUUGACCCUUAAAAUGAUAAUCUUUUUUUUGUUGUUGAAAAAGGGGGUGUGACACAAAUAAUUAAAAUCCCUCUUUUGUGAUAACCUUAUGUUUAUGUUCUUAUGGUGAUUGAUUGAAAUGCAUGAUUUAUAGCUUGAAAAUAGUUUACUCAAAUACCAUAGUAUUUUGAGCACGAUAUAGAGAUUUAAGAGAGGGAGUUUUUUGAUGUAAAUAUAUUUUGUUAAAAGAGAAAGAUUUGCAUGAGAUUAAGAGCUUUGACAUGACCACCUUUCAUCAUUGAAAGUUUGACAAAGAGAGUUGCACACAUGUGUUUACAUGAGUUUUAGAGAAAAAGUUCUUUGAAAUGAUUUAUUGAUAUGGUGGUCCCGAAUUUAUGUUUUGAAAACAGAGAUUGAAAUAUGCUAAAAAUGGCUCAGAGAUGUAAUUUGCAAGUCAAUGGUAUGACGAUACUAUAUAAAUUUAUGCCAUAACAGAGUUAGAGUUUUCAGAGAAUGGAUGUCUUCAAGAGUUAAAAAUGGGCAUAAAGAGAGUUAGGUGGUUGCCUGAAGAGUGCUCGAGUUCAAGUAACUCUUAGCCUAAAAUCGUGAUUUGUCGAUCCGAGUAUCUUAGUUUUAUGCUGGCGACGGCCUUGUGGAGUAGAAGAGUCAAAGACUCCAACUCUUGUGGCACACUUGGGUUGGAGGCUUCCCCGCUGAGUCAAUGGCAGAGUCCAUAUAGCCCAUGGAAUUUCAGUGUUGUAGGGUAUACCACCUAGCGCAGAAGUAAAACAAAGAGUGUUGCAGAGUUCAGAUGAUUUUACAAAGUCUUUCAAAAAUGCCCAUGAGAUUUCUUACUAUAUGAUAUGUUUAUGAACUGUCUUAAAAUUGCUCUCAUAUAUGUUGAAUAUAAAUUAUUAUUUUGGAUUUGCUCUGCGUACUAGUACAUCUGUAUUGACCCCCUACCUCCCAGGUUUGGAGGCUCAGUCUGAGGGUCCGGCUAAUCAGUAGAGUAUUCCAGAGAAAAGUGAUCCAUGCAGUGGUGAGCCUUCUUUGUUCCAGAAGGCCUGUUAUUUCGGAUUAUGUUAUUCCAGUGUUUGGUCUACUGGGGGCCUUGUCCCAGUUUUCAAAAUAGUUUUGAGAUGUAUUAGAGAUUUCGUAGACUAAAUCAGAUCUUAUCCAGAAGUUUUGAAAUUAGGCAAGG
rnacentral:lncRNA from 1 species